AGCCGGGUGGUGUAGCGGUCAAGCAUGGCGGGCUUUGGCCCCGCCGACGGGAGUUCGAAUCUCCCCCCGGCUACCA
rnacentral:tRNA from 1 species